CCAACAGUCUUUUUCAAGACUACACAAACAGUCCUUUAAAGGACU
rfam:Strongylocentrotus purpuratus Contig12954_fixed, whole genome shotgun sequence.